CUUUUGGUCUUUAUGCUUUUUGAUGAGCCGUCUGUGAUCAUUCAAACAUUAAUCCUCGUCUAUAACUGUAACAGUAACAAAUUCAGACACAGCAAAUGACAUUAUCAACAUGUCACUACCAAUGCUAGGAAUAACUGGCUCCGAGAAAGACCACCAGCUGUGGGUGAGUUCUGGCAAGGAAACGGCCCCACGCCUGCUCAUUGGUAAGUGUCAGGAAAAAUCUAA